GAUGAACGCUGGCGGCGUGCCUAAUACAUGCAAGUCGAGCGAACAGACGAGGAGCUUGCUCCUCUGACGUUAGCGGCGGACGGGUGAGUAACACGUGGAUAACCUACCUAUAAGACUGGGAUAACUUCGGGAAACCGGAGCUAAUACCGGAUAAUAUAUUGAACCGCAUGGUUCAAUAGUGAAAGACGGUUUUGCUGUCACUUAUAGAUGGAUCCGCGCCGCAUUAGCUAGUUGGUAAGGUAACGGCUUACCAAGGCGACGAUGCGUAGCCGACCUGAGAGGGUGAUCGGCCACACUGGAACUGAGACACGGUCCAGACUCCUACGGGAGGCAGCAGUAGGGAAUCUUCCGCAAUGGGCGAAAGCCUGACGGAGCAACGCCGCGUGAGGGAUGAAGGUCUUCGGAUCGUAAAACUCUGUUAUUAGGGAAGAAAAAAUGUGUAAGUAACUAUGCACGUCUUGACGGUACCUAAUCAGAAAGCCACGGCUAACUACG
rnacentral:rRNA from 1 species